UUUUUUGAAAGGUCUGCGCAACGACGCAACACAACGACGACGGCAACCAAUACAAUGAGUCAAUGAAAAGAAAUAAUUAUAAUAUACGACAAGUUUUCUUUACUAUCAUUUAUUUGAAGGAAUUUGUUUUGGCCGUCGUCGCCGUGUUUCCGUCCUACAUGCUUAGGGGUCCUGAAGGGGUAAAAUGGAAACUGGGAUUUGCAGUAUUUUUGGGUGGGAAAAUAUGGGAUUUCAUGCACUGGGACUGGGAUUCAUCAGCAAAAAAACAAUAGAAAAUGGGAAUGGGAUUAAGAUUUGAACAGGACAGCCACUGAGAUGAUGGGAUUUGUGCUCUGGGACAAUGGGAUUUAGUCAAAAUUUGGGCUGGGAAAUGGGAAUACGACCCCCACUUCAGGACCCUCUGCUUAAGCUCGCUAAUAAUUGAUAGGG